rnacentral:lncRNA from 1 species
AGAAUGUAAAACAAUUAAAUAAAAAAAAAUUCUGAAGUAGGCAAUAUUUUCUAAAAGAAAAAUGUAAAUUAGAUUAUCCAGAAAGUGUGGAGCCAGGAAUUCAAGUCUAACUGACCCAAAAGCCCACAUUCUUUCACCAUAUCAUGCCACCUGCCCAUACGGUGUUGAGGGCACAAUUUGUUGAGAGACGUCACACACAGUGCGGAUAGCUGUCUUGGAUAUUAUUUUUCUUCAGAUCCCAUCAACUCUAUAGCAGAAAAAACAGCCUAGAUCAAAGUCCUCGCUACAUAUGAUGACUCAAUAUCCCACACAUGUCCCUUUCUUUAUUGUUUUAACCACAAUAAAGAUUUCAGUGUAAAUGACUUUCCUCUGUGAGUGCUUUAAAGCUGAAAUGUUACUAAAUUCUUAAUUUGGAGGAGGCAUGACUGCAUUCUGAAUUCUGGCGUGAGCUGUGGCUAGAAAACACCCGGAUGGACGGGGAGCGUAACUUGGAAGGAUAUGCUAGUUUCAGUUGAUUUUUCAUGCUGCUCACAGCUCUUUUUAUAGCCUUGGAAACCCAAACUGGCAAGGACAUAAGGGGAGAGGCCAAGUCUCUAUGGUGCAGAUGACUUCAUUCAAAUGCCUCACUGUGGCAUCAGAAUCACGUUCUGUGGCCUCAUCCCCAUGCUCCAAACUGUCCCAUUAGACACCUCUUACAUUAAAACUGGAUAAGACGUCUGGCCAAGCGUCAGCAGAUAGUCAAAUCUCAACUGAUGCCAUUUGUUUCUUUCUACAUUUCCUGUCAUUGCUGACCCCACCAUCCUACAAAGCUGCUGACUUCCCCCUGAUGAUGCUGCCACAUCUUCAGGAAUGCUGCACUUGUCUGGUUCCAACUGCACUCGGAGGCCACCACCAGUCUUUGCUCACAGCCUGCUUCUCAGAGCUUCUUCGAAAUAGCUCACACAGUCUUUGUCCUAAACAUCUGCAAAAAGAAUGCCCAGCCCUAGGAUCUGAUUUAUCCACCAAUGUUUUCUUUAUCAGUGUCUGUGUAUUGUAUCCCUCUUAUUUGGAAGUGAUGUUCUUUCCUCUGAAUGCCUGUAACGUUUUUUUCUGUACCUUGCUCUAUUCACUCCUGUUUUCCAAAAAACUACU